rnacentral:rRNA from 1 species
GGGGUAAAGGCCGUACCAAGGCGAGCGAAUCUUGGUANGCGGGGCUCGUGGAGCAGGAAUGAUCCCCGCCACACUGGGACUGAGACACGGCCCAAGACUCCUACGGGCAGGCAGCAGUGGGGAAUAUUGGACAAUGGGCGGGAAGGCCUGAUCCAGCCCAUGCCG